UACGUAGGGGGCAAGCGUUGUCCGGAAUCAUUGGGCGUAAGGAGCGUGUAGGCGGCUCGGUAAGUCCGCUGUAAAAGUCAAAGGCUCAACCUUUGAAUGUCAGUGGAUACUGCCGGGCUAGAGUCCGGAAGAGGCGAGUGGAACUCCUGGUGUAGCGGUGGAAUGCGCAGAUAUCAGGAAGAACACCAACGGCGAAGGCAGCUCGCUGGGACGGUACUGACGCUGAGACGCGAAAGCGUGGGGAGCGAACAGG
rnacentral:rRNA from 1 species